GAUAUUCAAUUUAAAGUGAGUAAACAGAAUUCCAUACUCGAUCUCAUAGAUCCCUAUAGAAUUUUGUGGAAAGCCGUAUUUGAAGAAAGUCGUAUGUACGGCUUGGAGGGAGAUCUUUCCUAUCUUUCGAGAUCCACCCUACAAUAUGGGGUCAAAAAGCCAAAAAAAUAA
rnacentral:rRNA from 1 species